rnacentral:rRNA from 1 species
GGGUUGUGAGGUUAAGCGACUAAGCGUACACGGUGGAUGCCCUGGCAGUCAGAGGCGAUGAAGGACGUGCUAAUCUGCGAUAAGCGUCGGUAAGGUGAUAUGAACCGUUAUAACCGGCGAUUUCCGAAUGGGGAAACCCAGUGUGAUUCGUCACACUAUCAUUAACUGAAUCCAUAGGUUAAUGAGGCGAACCGGGGGAACUGAAACAUCUAAGUACCCCGAGGAAAAGAAAUCAACCGAGAUUCCCCCAGUAGCGGCGAGCGAACGGGGAGCAGCCCAGAGCCUGAAUCAGUGUGUGUGUUAGUGGAAGCGUCUGGAAAGGCGCGCGAUACAGGGUGACAGCCCCGUACACAAAAAUGCACAUACUGUGAGCUCGAUGAGUAGGGCGGGACACGUGGUAUCCUGUCUGAAUAUGGGGGGACCAUCCUCCAAGGCUAAAUACUCCUGACUGACCGAUAGUGAACCAGUACCGUGAGGGAAAGGCGAAAAGAACCCCGGCGAGGGGAGUGAAAAAGAACCUGAAACCGUGUACGUACAAGCAGUGGGAGCACGCUUAGGCGUGUGACUGCGUACCUUUUGUAUAAUGGGUCAGCGACUUAUAUUCUGUAGCAAGGUUAACCGAAUAGGGGAGCCGAAGGGAAACCGAGUCUUAACUGGGCGUUAAGUUGCAGGGUAUAGACCCGAAACCCGGUGAUCUAGCCAUGGGCAGGUUGAAGGUUGGGUAACACUAACUGGAGGACCGAACCGACUAAUGUUGAAAAAUUAGCGGAUGACUUGUGGCUGGGGGUGAAAGGCCAAUCAAACCGGGAGAUAGCUGGUUCUCCCCGAAAGCUAUUUAGGUAGCGCCUCGUGAAUUCAUCUCCGGGGGUAGAGCACUGUUUCGGCAAGGGGGUCAUCCCGACUUACCAACCCGAUGCAAACUGCGAAUACCGGAGAAUGUUAUCACGGGAGACACACGGCGGGUGCUAACGUCCGUCGUGAAGAGGGAAACAACCCAGACCGCCAGCUAAGGUCCCAAAGUCAUGGUUAAGUGGGAAACGAUGUGGGAAGGCCCAGACAGCCAGGAUGUUGGCUUAGAAGCAGCCAUCAUUUAAAGAAAGCGUAAUAGCUCACUGGUCGAGUCGGCCUGCGCGGAAGAUGUAACGGGGCUAAACCAUGCACCGAAGCUGCGGCAGCGACGCUUAUGCGUUGUUGGGUAGGGGAGCGUUCUGUAAGCCUGCGAAGGUGUGCUGUGAGGCAUGCUGGAGGUAUCAGAAGUGCGAAUGCUGACAUAAGUAACGAUAAAGCGGGUGAAAAGCCCGCUCGCCGGAAGACCAAGGGUUCCUGUCCAACGUUAAUCGGGGCAGGGUGAGUCGACCCCUAAGGCGAGGCCGAAAGGCGUAGUCGAUGGGAAACAGGUUAAUAUUCCUGUACUUGGUGUUACUGCGAAGGGGGGACGGAGAAGGCUAUGUUGGCCGGGCGACGGUUGUCCCGGUUUAAGCGUGUAGGCUGGUUUUCCAGGCAAAUCCGGAAAACUAAGGCUGAGGCGUGAUGACGAGGCACUACGGUGCUGAAGCAACAAAUGCCCUGCUUCCAGGAAAAGCCUCUAAGCAUCAGGUAACAUCAAAUCGUACCCCAAACCGACACAGGUGGUCAGGUAGAGAAUACCAAGGCGCUUGAGAGAACUCGGGUGAAGGAACUAGGCAAAAUGGUGCCGUAACUUCGGGAGAAGGCACGCUGAUAUGUAGGUGAAGUCCCUCGCGGAUGGAGCUGAAAUCAGUCGAAGAUACCAGCUGGCUGCAACUGUUUAUUAAAAACACAGCACUGUGCAAACACGAAAGUGGACGUAUACGGUGUGACGCCUGCCCGGUGCCGGAAGGUUAAUUGAUGGGGUCAGCGCAAGCGAAGCUCUUGAUCGAAGCCCCGGUAAACGGCGGCCGUAACUAUAACGGUCCUAAGGUAGCGAAAUUCCUUGUCGGGUAAGUUCCGACCUGCACGAAUGGCGUAAUGAUGGCCAGGCUGUCUCCACCCGAGACUCAGUGAAAUUGAACUCGCUGUGAAGAUGCAGUGUACCCGCGGCAAGACGGAAAGACCCCGUGAACCUUUACUAUAGCUUGACACUGAACAUUGAGCCUUGAUGUGUAGGAUAGGUGGGAGGCUUUGAAGUGUGGACGCCAGUCUGCAUGGAGCCGGCCUUGAAAUACCACCCUUUAAUGUUUGAUGUUCUAACGUUGACCCGUAAUCCGGGUUGCGGACAGUGUCUGGUGGGUAGUUUGACUGGGGCGGUCUCCUCCUAAAGAGUAACGGAGGAGCACGAAGGUUGGCUAAUCCUGGUCGGACAUCAGGAGGUUAGUGCAAUGGCAUAAGCCAGCUUGACUGCGAGCGUGACGGCGCGAGCAGGUGCGAAAGCAGGUCAUAGUGAUCCGGUGGUUCUGAAUGGAAGGGCCAUCGCUCAACGGAUAAAAGGUACUCCGGGGAUAACAGGCUGAUACCGCCCAAGAGUUCAUAUCGACGGCGGUGUUUGGCACCUCGAUGUCGGCUCAUCACAUCCUGGGGCUGAAGUAGGUCCCAAGGGUAUGGCUGUUCGCCAUUUAAAGUGGUACGCGAGCUGGGUUUAGAACGUCGUGAGACAGUUCGGUCCCUAUCUGCCGUGGGCGCUGGAGAACUGAGGGGGGCUGCUCCUAGUACGAGAGGACCGGAGUGGACGCAUCACUGGUGUUCGGGUUGUCAUGCCAAUGGCACUGCCCGGUAGCUAAAUGCGGAAGAGAUAAGUGCUGAAAGCAUCUAAGCACGAAACUUGCCCCGAGAUGAGUUCUCCCUGACUCCUUGAGAGUCCUGAAGGAACGUUGAAGACGACGACGUUGAUAGGCCGGGUGUGUAAGCGCAGCGAUGCGUUGAGCUAACCGGUACUAAUGAACCGUGAGGCUUAACCUUACAACGCCGAAGCUGUU